GAUGAACGCUGGCGGCGUGCCUUACACAUGCAAGUCGAACGGCAGCACGGGAGCAAUCCUGGUGGCGAGUGGCGAACGGGUGAGUAAAGUAUCGGAACGUGCCCAGGCGUGGGGGAUAACGUAGCGAAAGUUACGCUAAUACCGCAUACGAUCUAUGGAUGAAAGCGGGGGAUCGCAAGACCUCGCGCGCUUGGAGCGGCCGAUAUCAGAUUAGGUAGUUGGUGGGGUACAGGCGCACCAAGCCGACGCUCUGGAGCUGGUCUGAGAGGACGACCGGCGACACUGGGACUGAGACACGGCCCAGACGACUACGGGAGGCAGGAGGGGGGAAUUCUACACAAUGGGCGAAAGCCUGAUACCAGCCUGCCGCGUGCAGGAUGAAGGCCUUCGGGUUGUAAACUGCUUUUGUAGGGAACGAAAAGGUUUGGCCUAAUAAGCUGAGCUCAUGACGGUACCGUAAGAAUAAGCACCGGCUAACUACGUGCCAGCCGCCGCCGUAA
rnacentral:rRNA from 1 species